UACGGAGGGUGCAAGCGUUAUCCGGAUUCACUGGGUUUAAAGGGUGCGUAGGUGGGUGGGUAAGUCAGUGGUGAAAUCUCCAGGCUUAACUUGGAAACUGCCAUUGAUACUAUCAAUCUUGAAUGCCGUGGAGGUCAGCGGAAUAUGUCAUGUAGCGGUGAAAUGCUUAGAUAUGACAUAGAACACCAAUUGCGAAGGCAGCUGGCUACACGAAUAUUGACACUGAUGCACGAAAGCGUGGGGAUCAAACAGG
rnacentral:rRNA from 1 species